UUAACAACCGAAUCGUUCUCUCUCCCACCAUAGCCGCAAAAAAACCUCAAACCCCAAAUUCUUCAUUACCCACCGCUACAUAAUCUCUGAACUUCAAUUUCUUCAUCUGUAAUCCAGAUUUGUCCUCACAAAGAUAAACUACGGGGUUUUAUUAGUUUUUCUUCUAGACAAAAUCACUUCUCUAAAAAAAACCUCAGGAAAAGACGAAGAAAAAGAGGAGUCGUCCAACUCAGAGCAAUUUCCAUUAUGAUUAAUUCUCCCAUCCAAAGAUGUCUUGAUCAAUUAUGUUUAGAAAGCGAACUCUAAAGAUGAUAUAUUUGUAUCCUGAUGUCAGACUGGAGGACAGUGUCUUAUACAACCAAACCCUCAGAAGUGGUUGAAACUUCAAGAGGAUGGUUACUCAAUUGGUUUUCAACAAUCCAAGAGAGGGACAGAAAACUCGCUAGGGUUCAAUUUGCAGGUCUUGGUUUGGUUGGUGAACUACGUCAAUAUAGGUUCGAAAGGUGUUUUGGCGAUAUGGAUUUGAUGAUACUGUUUCAUUUUUUGCCAAAAGAAGUACAACCAAUAUUUUGGAAUUGGAAGAAAAACCAACUAAGUAUAUUCAACUGGCUUUUUGUGUGCUGUUAAGACGAAUGAUACACAAUGACUCAAUAGUUGCAAUAGGGUAAUAAAUAAUAACCAUUAUCUUUCGCAAAACCAACAAUAGGGGUUUGAUCAGUAGUAUCGAGCCAGAACAAUGUGCACCCAUAUCGUAAUGUGCUACCAAAUUGUUACAACGUACCAGAUUAGAUGUAAGACCUAUAAAGAGAAGUAAAUGUUGUUGUUUUCUAAUUAUGGAAUCAGAGACUGCAUACAGAAGUUUGAGCCUUCUUUCACGUUCGUAGUUCUCCACAUGGCUACAUUAAACUCAUGGAAUAAGUUGACUUAUUCAGAAAUCAUAACUCAGUUAAACUUGACCAAUGCGGACAUCAUUAGACUGCUUCAUUCUUUUUCCUCUCCAAAAUUUAAGUAUUUUCCAAGAAACCAGGCACGAAAACCAUCUCUUUGACUGUUGUCUCUGAUUUGAUUUCUAAUUUGACCGACAAAAUGAGGAGAAUCAAGGUGAUGAUUGGUAUGAAGUUUCUUUUUGUCUCAUGCUUUGAUAUUAUUCUGAUAUCUUUACCCUAUAUUAGAAAUGCGAGAUGAGAUGCUACUGCCACAUCUGCAGGUUUCUCUCCAACCUGCAACUAAGAUAGACGGUGCAUCGUUGAUACCUCAAUUGUCAGGAUCAUAAACAGCCUAAAGAUUUUGGAGGAUCGGAACCUGGUGAUGGGAUGUGUCUAGCAUCCAGGCCACAUAUCUAAGGUAAACUCUUGCAUAUUACAUUUUUUUAUUUCAAAACUUGGUGAUGGGAUAUUUGUAGCAGCUAGGCCACAUAUCUAAGGUAAACUCUUGAAUGAGUGUUAGGUUAAAUUUUUCAUACCCAUCUUCGAUUAAAUUGAGUUAUUUUUAAGAAAUUCAGGGUUCUUAAUUAAGAAAGUUUCAAUAGUAUUAUUUAGAGAUUUGGCAUGUCGUCAUUUGACACAUUUAGAGAUUUGGCAUGUCGUCAUUUGAUACAUAUAGUCAUCUGUGAUUAAUGUAGCCUUAUUUUUCCACUCACUUGGUAGUUUAGCCAUAUAAGGAGAACACACUAUCAAAAAAGGGAAGCAGGGUUCCAAUCACCGCCCUUCAGCGGGCUGAUAAAUAGUUCCACCUGGUCAAUAAUCUGGUGUAUACACAUAUCCAGCCUCUAAUAUCGUAAAUGAAGAUGCUUCAUGGGAUCAGUUUACUGACAUAUUGUUGAUAGCUGGGGUUGCAGGGUAUAUACUAUAUAGUGUGGGUUUCUUUUAAAAAACUGAGGAAUUAUAGUACAUAUGCUUAAAUUUGCUAUUUGUAGUUCCACUACACUGCAUCCUUAUCCUUUUUUCUAGAUUAAGCUGUUAGAUCUUGGAAAAGAAAUGGAAGCUGAUGCAAUUACCUUGCGAACUGCAGAAAAUUUUAAAAAUCAGUCUGAUCCAAUUUAGUAAAUAAAUGCUGUACAUGCAGUCUUCUCUAUAGAAGUUUCAUUGCACCUCCAAUCAUCUUGAGGUUGGCUGAUUGUACCCACCAACAUGUGUUCGAUGUACUUUACAUGGUCCUGCAUCGUCAGAUUAUCUUCCGGGUACCGACAUAUUACAUAUAGAUGUAAGAGGAGGUCCCAGAAUUUUGAAGUUACUAAAGCAUUCAUCAAACAUAACUCAUGACUCAUGAGCAACAUACUUUGUUGAAGACUUGAUCACUAAGAAUAGCAGGUGAACCAGCUGGAACAAAAGCUUUCACAGAUAUAGGGUGAACAUGCGACACGGACAUUAAAGAUGAGGAGAAUUUUAUGGACGAUGUUGAUAGUUCAUUUGGCUUAAGAGGGGAGCCCCUGGCAGCCUAAUCUUUUUAAGAAUUUGAAUUUAGCUAUUCACGUAGACGAUUAGCUCAUUCUGAGUUAAUAAAUCUAAAUAAAACAAUGUCAGGGAGUUAAGAACAUCUUUUUUUCCUAUAUUUUUUCUCUAACAUUCGGGAAAUCUACAAUGGUAUUACCGGGAAA